rnacentral:rRNA from 1 species
UACGGAGGGGGCUAGCGUUUGUUCGGAAUUACUGGGCGUAAAGCGCACGUAGGCGGCUUUGCAAGUUAGAGGUGAAAGCCCGGGGCUCAACUCCGGAAUUGCCUUUAAAACUGCAUCGCUAGAAUUGUGGAGAGGUAAGUGGAAUUCCGAGUGUAGAGGUGAAAUUCGUAGAUAUUCGGAAGAAACACCAGUGGCGAAGGCGACUUACUGGACACAUAUUGACGCUGAGGUGCGAAAGCGUGGGGAGCAACAGG